CAGUGCGACGGGGGGACCCCAAGUGCCACUCUUAACGGGGUGGCUUUUCAGGAGUGUAAAAAGCUCCUGGAAUAAGGGCUGGGCAAGACCGGUGCCAGCCGCCGCGGUAACACCGGCAGCUCGAGUGGUAGCCGCGUUUAUUGGGCCUAAAGCGUCCGUAGCCGGUCCGAUAAGUCUCUGGUGAAAGCCCACAGCUCAACUGUGGGAAUCGCUGGAGAUACUAUCGGACUUGAGGCCGGGAGAGGCUGGAGGUACUCCCAGGGUAGGGGUGAAAUCCUAUAAUCCUGGGAGGACCACCUGUGGCGAAGGCGUCCAGCUGGAACGGACCUGACGGUGAGGGACGAAAGCCAGGGGCGCGAACCGGAUUAGAUACCCGGGUAGUCCUGGCCGUAAACGAUGCGGACUUGGUGUUGGGACGGCUUUGAGCUGUCCCAGUGCCGAAGGGAAGCUGUUAAGUCCGCCGCCUGGGAAGUACGGCCGCAAGGCUGAA
rnacentral:rRNA from 1 species